GACGUAGGGGGCGAGCGUUAUUCGGAAUCACUGGGCUUAAAGCGCGUGUAGGCGGAUGGGAACGUCGGUAGUUGAAAGCCCCCGGCUCAACCGGGGAAGUGGUGCCGAAACGACCCGUCUGGAGGGACGUAGGGGGACCUGGAACUUCCGGUGGAGCGGUGAAAUGCGUUGAGAUCGGAAGGAACGCCCGUGGCGAAAGCGAGGUCCUGGACGUCUGCUGACGCUGAGACGCGAAAGCUAGGGGAGCGAACGGG
rnacentral:rRNA from 1 species